UUCGGCGUCCUGGGGGCGUUAGUUCUUUUGAAACGUGUCUCUUUUGUGCUCACAGGCUUCCCUUGCCCGGCGACCUUUCACAACUUUCCAGAGAAUCACCAUAAAGAGGCGGGAACCACCUCUGCGCCUUGUAAGACCUUGUGGGGGGGUUAGAGGAAGCCCACGGGACCCGUCUCGGUUGCCGCCCCUCUUGGCCCCGCUCGCACAGGGAGUUCAAGGCCAUGGUGUAGGCACACGGCACCCGUGACCUUCAAGGACGUGGCAGUGACCUUUACCUAGGACGAGUGGGGGCAGCUGGAUGCUGCCCAGAGGAGCCUGUACUGGGAGGUGAUGCUGGAGACCUGUGGGCUCCUGACCUCUCUGGGAUAUCCGGUUCCCAAACCAGAUCUAAUCCACCCACUGAAGCACGGGCAGGAGCUGUGGGUGGUGAAGAGAAGCCUCUCCCAAAGUGCCU